rnacentral:rRNA from 1 species
CUACGGGGGGCACCAGUGGGGAAUCUUGCGCAAUGGGUGAAAGCCUGACGCAGCAACGCCGCGUGGGGGAAGAAGGCCUUCGGGUUGUAAACCUCUUUCAGUAGGGACGAAGCUUCCGGGGUUAAUAGCCUACGGGGUGACGGUACCUACAGAAGAAGCCCCGGCUAACUACGUGCCAGCAGCCGCGGUAAUACGUAGGGGGCAAGCGUUGUCCGGAAUCAUUGGGCGUAAAGCGCGUGUAGGCGGCUUGGUAAGUCUGGCGUGAAAUCUUGGGGCUCAACCCCAAGCCUGCGUUGGAUACUGCCUCGCUCGAGUCCGGGAGAGGAAAGCGGAAUUCCCAGUGUAGCGGUGAAAUGCGCAGAUAUUGGGAAGAACACCGGUGGCGAAGGCGGCUUUCUGGAACGGUACUGACGCUGAGACGCGAAAGCGUGGGGAGCAAACAGGAUUAGAUACCCGGGUAGUC